rnacentral:rRNA from 1 species
UACGUAGGGUGCGAGCGUUGUCCGGAAUUAUUGGGCGUAAAGAGCUUGUAGGUGGUUUGUCGCGUCUGCUGUAAAAAAUCCGAGGCUCAACCUCGGACUUGCAGUGGGUACGGGCAGACUAGAGUGUGGUAGGGGAGACUGGAAUUCCUGGUGUAGCGGUGGAAUGCGCAGAUAUCAGGAGGAACACCGAUGGCGAAGGCAGGUCUCUGGGCCAUUACUGACGCUGAGAAGCGAAAGCAUGGGGAGCGAACAGG